CCUACGGGAGGCAGCAGUGAGGAAUAUUGGUCAAUGGGCGAGAGCCUGAACCAGCCAAGUCGCGUGAAGGAUGACGGCCCUACGGGUUGUAGACUUCUUUUGUCAGGGAGCAAUUGGGUCCACGCGUGGGCUUAGCGAGAGUACCGGAAGAAAAAGCAUCGGCUAACUCCGUGCCAGCAGCCGCGGUAAUACGGGGGAUGCGAGCGGUAUCCGGUUUUAUUGGGUUUAAAGGGUGCGUAGGCGGGCUUUUAAGUCAGCGGUAAAAAUUCGGGGCUCAACCCCGUCCGGCCGUUGAAACUGGGGGCCGUGAGUGCGCGAGAGGCAGGCGGAAUGCGUGGUGUAGCGGUGAAAUGCAUAGAUAUCGCGCAGAACCCCGAUUGCGAAGGCAGCCUUCCGGCGCCCUACUGACGCUGAGGCACGAAAGUGCGGGGAUCGAACAGGAUUAGAUACCCGGGUAGUC
rnacentral:rRNA from 1 species